UGAGGAAUAUUGGUCAAUGGGCGAGAGCCUGAACCAGCCAAGUAGCGUGCAGGAAGACGGCCCUACGGGUUGUAAACUGCUUUUAUGCGGGGAUAAAGUAUGGGACUUGUCCCAUUUUGCAGGUACCGCAUGAAUAAGGACCGGCUAAUUCCGUGCCAGCAGCCGCGGUAAU
rnacentral:rRNA from 1 species